AUACGGAGGGUGCAAGCGUUAUUCGGAAUCACUGGGCGUAAAGGACGCGUAGGCGGGUUGGCAAGGCAGAUGUGAAAUCCUACAGCUUAACUGUAGAACUGCAUUUGAAACUGCUAACCUAGAGUAUGGGAGGGGGAGAUGGAAUUAGUGGUGUAGGGGUAAAAUCCGUAGAUAUCACUAGGAAUACCAAAAGCGAAGGCGAUCUUCUGGAACAGUACUGACGCUGAGGCGCGAAAGCGUGGGGAGCAAACAGGAUUAGAAACCCUAGUAGUCC
rnacentral:rRNA from 1 species